GACGAACGCUGGCGGCGUGCUUAACACAUGCAAGUCGAACGGAAAGGCCCGGCUUUUGUGGGGUGCUCGAGUGGCGAACGGGUGAGUAACACGUGAGUAACCUGCCCUUGACUGUGGGAUAACUUUAGGAAACUGGGGCUAAUACCGGAUAGGAGCUCCUGCUGCAUGGGGGGGGUUGGAAAGGUUCGGCGGUUGGGGAUGGACUCGCGGCUUAUCAGCUUGUUGGUGGGGUAGUGGCUUACCAAGGCUUUGACGGGUAGCCGGCCUGAGAGGGUGACCGGCCACAUUGGGACUGAGGUACGGCCCAGACUCCUACGGGAGGCAGCGGUGGGGAAUAUUGCACAAUGGGCGGAAGCCUGAUGCAGCGACGCCGCGUGCGGGAUGACGGCCUUCGGGUUGUAAACCGCUUUCGACUGUGACGAACCGUGAGUGACGGUAAUGGGUCAAGAAGCACCGGCUAACUACGUG
rnacentral:rRNA from 1 species